AAGAGACAGCAGCCGCCGCGGUAAUACGGAGGGGGCUAGCGUUGUUCGGAAUUACUGGGCGUAAAGCGCACGUAGGCGGCUUUGUAAGUUAGAGGUGAAAGCCUGGAGCUCAACUCCAGAAUUGCCUUUAAGACUGCAUCGCUUGAAUCCAGGAGAGGUGAGUGGAAUUCCGAGUGUAGAGGUGAAAUUCGUAGAUAUUCGGAAGAACACCAGUGGCGAAGGCGGCUCACUGGACUGGUAUUGACGCUGAGGUGCGAAAGCGUGGGGAGCAAACAGGAUUAGAGACCCCGGUAGUCCCUGUCUCUUAUAC
rnacentral:rRNA from 1 species